UCAUGGUUAGCUCAGUCGGUAGAGCGCUCCACUGGAAAUGGAGAGCAAUAAAAUGCUUAGGUGGGCCAGUUGGUACAUCAUGGG
rnacentral:tRNA from 1 species